UGGCCUUGAAGAAAACGAAUAUAAGGCGACAUUAAUUUGUUUCUGUUACACUUAAAUUCAAGUUGUGAAAACUGUUACGUGGCAAGUUUCAAAAUGAAGAUUCUUCUGUGUAUCACAAUUUUUUCGUUAAUUGCGUUGUCUAUUGCUGCACCACCAGGAUCCCAUCCUCACAGUAGUGACGAAGAGUCGAAAACAAAAGAAGCAGAAGGAAUUGAUGUGGAACCAUUAGAAGCGAAUGAGGCAAACGAAGCAAAUGCGUUAAACGAAGCAAAUGAGGCAAACGAAGCAAAUGGUAUUGCUGAGAAACCAGCAGAAGCUAAUGACGUAGAAACUCUUCCUAAAGGGACAAUUAAGAGGAGGAAGGACAGGAAGAAGCAUAGGCACGAUCAUUAAUUAUUUGAUUUAAUCACUAAAGAUUAAUUAAUCUAAAUGUCUAAUUGUAAUGUUCAUGAAUAAAUUAAUAGCACAGAUAUUGUUUACAAUCUUUAAUAUGUCAAAUUUAUAUAAAUAUGUAACGAUUUAAUACCCCAAAAUAUACUAUACACAGGA